UUUUUUUUUUUUUUUUUGCUUUUUAGGGCCGAAUCCAUGGCAUGUGGAAGUUCCCAGGCUAGGGGUCGAAUCUGAGCUGCAGCUGCCAGGAUCUGAGCCGCAUCUGUGAUCUAUACUGCAGCUCACAGCAAUGCCAGAUCCUUCACCCACUGAGGGAGGCCAGGGAUCGAACCCACAUCCUCGUGGGUACUAGCUGGGUUUGUUUCCGUUGCGCCACAAUGGGAAUUCCUGGGGGAGUAAUUUUUAAUUCUCUCAUUAUGUAUGGCUGGUACAAUUAAAUAAAUGAAUAAAAUAUGAAAAAAUAAAAAUAGGAUGUAAUCAAGACAUAUUGAAUAAAACAUAUAAUAAAGAAGACAGCAGACCAUUUCUUAGCUUGUCCCCCAUUUCACAAUGACAAGCCUCAGGAACAGCACCUAGGAAAGGAAAAUAUCACGCAGCUCUUAUUCAUUAAGAAAUGACCAGGAAAGUAGUUGGAUGGAACAUUUAAAACCAAAUGAUACAACUUCUAAGGUGAGGGCCUGCCACGCUGGAUUCCGCAGUUGGGGUGGUCAACACUCAGGGUUUUCUGGAAUGUUCAGUUCCCAAGACCCUAACUGUGGUGAAGGCUAACAGUUGAGUUACCCUCCCUUUGUUCUCUUUAAAUGGCACCUCGAUGUGCAAACUGCCUGUAAGAAGCAAGUGUUUAAAGGAGCUCAAAGCUUAGCGUCCUCUCUGACUUAUUUCUUACAGCUCUCUGCCCUCUUCUUCUUCCUGCCCUUUGCUGAAUUCCUCCACUUCUCCCAUAUUUUCCUUAAGGCUGGGGUCCUUCCUCACCAGGGUCCGGGCUAAGUCAGUGAGGAUUCGGGUAAUGCCAGAACUUGGGGAUGGCCGGGAAGCAAAAAGCUAGCGCUCUGAAGCCAUUCAAACCUCACACGAGAGUCUUCAUCCAAGUCAGAAUUGGCUUCUCCUCCUUCUCUUUUUUUUUCUGAGACCAAAAUUAGAUUGGAAACCAGACUGUCUGUAGACACUAAGCAUGGCCAUGCUUUGGUUUCUGCAGGGUCAGCAAAUGAGUCCUAAAGACUACUGAGCAGCUCCAUGACCCGUGCACUUGCCACUACUGAGCAGCUCCAUGACCCGUGCACUUGCCGGUCCCACGCACAUGCCUCAGACAUCGGAACACAAACUCAGAGAAGUGGAGACCAUUAGAGGUGAACGUGGCCUUUUCGAGGCUGGAGGUGAAUUGCUACUGCAAGUGUGGCUGCUCAGCAGCCUUGCUUGGGUACAAAUUCUCAGGUACCCACCACGGACCUUCUGAACCAGAAGCUUUGGGAUGCGGUCCAGGUAUCAGUGUGUUUACAAGCUCUCCACAUGCUUAAGUUUAGCCUAAGUGAAAACUACGAUUAUAGAGUAAGAAACUGAAGCCCGGGGAAGAUAGAAUUGUUUGUCUUCACAAAACGAGAGGUGGGGGGAGAGCACUUGUUCUAAGUGAGACAUCUGAAUAAAGCGACAUUAUUUUCCCCUGUUUCAAAAUCUGCAAUAUUGUACCUACAGGUCUCUGAAUUAUCUUUGACUCCCAGCUCUCUUCCUUUUUGCAUCACUGCACUGGGAGAAACUGCGGCAAGCAAUACAGAGCAGCCCAAUGCAGUCUCUGGAGCAUGACGAAGCGUUUAAUACAAACUCUUUUUACAAAUCACUGGAUUAAUGAAAUUCAUCACACACAGGAGUUCGGGGAUGUCGACCGCAUGCAAAUCACAUUUAACCAGCUAAAGAGCAGACUUCGACUGGCUCCCAGGACAUAGGAGCAGCAAACACUAGGAUAGGCAUUUGACUAUGCAUGAACCUCCGAGAAGAGCUGCAGCUCCUUAUCUUAUUUUCUCAGGCCUCUAUAACCACACCAAGACGCAGAGACAAGCUCUGAACUGUAGGCAGUUCUAUGUCGCACACACACAAAAGCUACGUUCCCAAAAAGAUCAUUUCUAAAUCAGUUAUUUGAAACCUGGACACAUUUCCUCAUACAAAGUUAUAAAUGGUCUUAGAUGUCUAAUCACAACAGAUUUACAAAAAAACUGAUACUAUAAAAAAAAAACCUAAUCAUUUAAAAAUGCUUCUACUAGCCCCCCCCCCAAAAAAAAGUUCCAAGCUUUCAUUUAGAUGCAUCUUCACAAAGGGAACUUCUCUAGGAACAGUGGCUCCCCUGGGUGUGGGGGUCACAGCCGUCGCUUCUGGUGAGGCAGAAAGGUUGGGGGCAGAUAGCUUUUUUUUUUUUUUGUCUUUUUGUCUUUUGUCUUUUGUUGUUGUUGUUGUUGCUAUUUCUUUGGGCCGCUCCCGCGGCAUAUGGAGUCCCCACAUUCAUCUCCAACUCUAAACAAAUACUAAUCUACUUUCUGCCUUUACAGAUUUGUCUAUUCUAGACAUUUUAUAUAAACGGAAUCAUAUAUGGUCUUUGAUCACUGGCUUUUUUCACUUAGCAUAAGGUUUUCAAGGUUCAUUCAUGUUGUAGCUUGAAUCAGUACUUUAUUCCUAAUUGACAAAUAAUAUUCCAGUGUGUGUGUGUGUGUGUGUGUGUGUGUGUGUGUGUAAUAUUUUAUUUAUCCAGGACAUUUAGGUUGUUUCCAUGAUUCAGC
ensembl:lncRNA